AUGCUCGCUUUGGCAGCACACACACUAAAACUGGAACGAUACAGAGAAGAUCAGCAGGGCCCUGUGCUAGGAUGACAUGCAAAUUCGUGACACAUUCCUUAUUUUU